rnacentral:rRNA from 1 species
ACAAACCGGAGGAAGGUGGGGACGACGUCAAGUCAUCAUGGCCCUUAUGUCCUGGGCUACACACGUGCUACAAUGGCCGGUACAGAGCGCAGCUAGGCCGCGAGGCGGAGCGAAUCGACCGAAAAGCCGGUCUCAGUACGGAUUGGAGUCUGAAACCCGACUCCAUGAAGUUGGAAUCGCUAGUAAUCGCGCAUCAGCAUGGCGCGGUGAAUACGUUCCCGGGCCUU